ACUCAUUUGAUAGACCAGACUGGCCUCGAACUCACUGAGAUCUGCCUGUCUCUGCCUCUCGAGUGCUUGAUUAAAGGCAGGCGUGCGCCACCAACACCCAUCUAGAUUAAGGCAUUUCUAAAGUGUAUAGGCUGGUUUAAUUCAGCAGCCCCUUCCACAGUCCCGUGUCUCUCAGAAGCAAUCAGACCGCUCAAAUGUGACAAAGCAAAGGUAAGGCCCACACUUCCUGUGUUGUAAUGUGUCCCAUCCUUACACGGCUUAUUUUUAUUACUUUACUUCUUUCUCUCUUUAAAGACUUUACUAUUUUUUAAUUAUUUUUUUUAGUACUGUCUAUACUCUUUUUCUUUUCUUUUUUCUUAAGCCUACACACACUGUUAAACACACUAACCUACUUAGAGGGUUUUUCUGGUUGUCUUUUUUUUUUUUUAUCUGAACCAGCUUUACUGCAUAUCUGUAACCUUUUCCGUCUGCUUGAGCAAAACUUAAACCACCACACAGUUUAGCUCAUGGUGAGUUGGCGAUUCAAGCACACGUCAGUGGGCAGGAGACAGGUCUUUGUACUGCAUUGUACUGCAGCCCGGAUGAGAGACUUUGGGACUAGAAAGCCAUGUUUGUCUUAAUUUUUGUGUUUGGGGCUUUUUUUUGUUUUGUCUUGUUUUCCAAGACAGGUUUCUCUGAAGCUUUGGAGCCUAUCCUGGAACUAGCUCUUGUAGACCAGGCUGGCCUCGAACUCACAGAGAUCUGCCUGCCUCUGCCUCCCGAGUGCUGGGAUUAAAGGUGUGUGCUACCACCACCCAACUUGCUUUCCCAGCUCUUAAGUGGAAAUGUGCACCCGGACACUGGACAUAAUAUACAGCUAGUUUUUUUCUGUCCCAUCAGCCAGCUCCCAAUUCACAGCAGGAGACGUAUUAAUUAUGAAAGCUCAGCUGAUAGCUUAGGCUUGUUUCUAACUAGCCCUUAUAAGUUAAUUAGCCAUCUCUAUUAAUUACAUGCUGCCGUGUGGCUCCUGUUAUCUCCUCUCCUGCACGCCCCACUGUGUCUCCUUGUGACUCUACCCUUCUCCCCAGGCUCCUCUGUGUCUGGAAAUCCUACGGAGCUUUUGGCUGGUCGGCUUUUUAUGAAGCCAAUCAGAGUUACACAUCUUCACAGUGUACAACAAGAUUUUCCCGUCACGUCAACCAGCUUAGGAUGACCUUGACUGUGCUUGCCUGCGUGUGUCUCCAGACGCUGGGAUCACAGGUGCCCCUGUGGGGACGUGACAGCCAGCCCUACCCUGGGCUUGUGUUAUCGCCUGCCAGAAAUGAACUGCUCUAUCCCAGUCCGUCAGCGUGCUCAGACCUGACUGAUAAUUUGCACAGUUCCCCUGUUUGGCUAAAGCAACUUAAUAUUAACCUUUAGCUCUGGAAUGCCUGGGGGAUUCCAGUGGCCUACAGGUGAGGUAUGUCUGCCUACUGGAAGAAUAUGUAGGGUCCCAAGGAAUUACAGUUACUGACUGUCAUGAGUCACCUUGCGGUUGCUGGGAAUUGAACUCAAGACCUUUGGAAGAGCAGCCAGUGCUCUUAACCUCUGAGCCUUCCCUCCAGCCCUAAUAAUAAGAAUUUUUAAUUAACUAAAAAUAAGUGGUAACUGAGUGUGGUCACAAAUCAAGAAGACCUUGACUCUCUUUUUCUCCUGUCUCUUAAAAACAAAACAAAACAAAACAAAAAAACUUCUUUGUGUGUGAACGCCGAUCCUGACUCUCGCUCCUCCACGUUAGUCACACAGACCUUGCACAACCUCCAAAUUACAUAUUCCCGUCUGGUUUGACUGUUAGAAC